CACUGCCGAGAAAAGCCUCUAGAUAGAAAAUAGGUGCCCGUACCGCAAACCGACACAGGUAGUCAAGAUGAGAAUUCUAAGGUGAGCGAGCGAACUCUCGUUAAGGAACUCGGCAAAAUGACCCCGUAACUUCGGGAGAAGGGGUGCUCUUUAGGGUUAACGCCCAGAAGAGCCGCAGUGAAUAGGCCCAAGCGACUGUUUAUCAAAAACACAGGUCUCUGCUAAACCGUAAGGUGAUGUAUAGGGGCUGACGCCUGCCCGGUGCUGGAAGGUUAAGAGGAGUGGUUAGCUUCUGCGAAGCUACGAAUCGAAGCCCCAGUAAACGGCGGCCGUAACUAUAACGGUCCUAAGGUAGCGAAAUUCCUUGUCGGGUAAGUUCCGACCCGCACGAAAGGCGUAACGAUUUGGGCACUGUCUCAACGAGAGACUCGGUGAA
rnacentral:rRNA from 1 species